rnacentral:rRNA from 1 species
GACGAACCGUGCGAACGUUGUUCGGAAUCACUGGGCUUAAAGGGCGCGUAGGCGGGCUCACAAGUCAGGGGUGAAAUCCUGGAGCUCAACUCCAGAACUGCCUUUGAUACUGGCAACCUUGAGUCCGGGAGAGGUGAGUGGAACUGCGAGUGUAGAGGUGAAAUUCGUAGAUAUUCGCAAGAACACCAGUGGCGAAGGCGGCUCACUGGCCCGGUACUGACGCUGAGGUGCGAAAGCGUGGGGAGCAAACAGG